rnacentral:rRNA from 1 species
AUUGAACGCUGGCGGCAUGCCUUACACAUGCAAGUCGAACGGCAGCACGGGUGCUUGCACCUGGUGGCGAGUGGCGAACGGGUGAGUAAUACAUCGGAACAUGUCCUGUAGUGGGGGAUAGCCCGGCGAAAGCCGGAUUAAUACCGCAUACGAUCUACGGAUGACAGCGGGGGACCUUCGGGCCUCGCGCUGUAGGGUUGGCCGAUGGCUGAUUAGCUAGUUGGUGGGGUAAAGGCCUACCAAGGCGACGAUCAGUAGCUGGUCUGAGAGGACGACCAGCCGCACGGGGACUGAGCCACGGACAAGACGCCUACGGGAGGCAGCAGUGGGGAAUGUGGGGCAAUGGUCGAAAGCCUGAUCCAGCAAUGCCGCGUGUGUGAAGAAGGCCUUCGGGUUGUAAAGAACGUUUGUCCGGAAAGAAAUCCUUGGCCCUAAGACGGUCGGGGGAUGACGGUACCGGAAGAAGAAGCACCGGCUAACUACGUG